rnacentral:rRNA from 1 species
UACGUAGGGUGCAAGCGUUGUCCGGAAUUACUGGGCGUAAAGUGCACGUAGGCGGAUUGUUAAGUCGGGGGUGAAAUCCUGGAGCUCAACUCCAGAACUGCCUUCGAUACUGGCGAUCUCGAGUUCGGGAGAGGUGAGUGGAACUGCGAGUGUAGAGGUGAAAUUCGUAGAUAUUCGCAAGAACACCAGUGGCGAAGGCGGCUCACUGGCCCGAUACUGACGCUGAGGUGCGAAAGCGUGGGGAGCAAACAGG